rnacentral:lncRNA from 1 species
CCAUACAAACAACACGUAAUUUAACUGCAUAUGUAGAUCAAUAGAUGUGGUUGGAUACAUUAUACAACUCUCCAUUCAUUCGCCUUGCUUGUCUUCGAACUCGUGUCCCACCACUAUUCGCUCAGGCGGGAACUAUUUUGGCGCAUUGACUCAAACAAAACAGUUUCACUCAGUAGCAUGACGGGUUUUCCUUGUAUGUCAUAACAGCUGUAUUACAGCCUUCUUGUACUGCUACUUUCUACUCGUACUAAUUGUAUACACUCUCUGGUAUAUAUAAUAGCCCCGGUCCCAUGAGGCUAUUUUCCU